GGAGAGGUGCCGGAGCGGUUGAACGGGACGGUCUCGAAAACCGUUGAACUCUUUGAGUUCCCUGGGUUCGAAUCCCAGCCUCUCCGCCA
rnacentral:tRNA from 1 species